UACGAAGGGGGCUAGCGUUGCUCGGAAUCACUGGGCGUAAAGGGCGCGUAGGCGGAUCUUUAAGUCGGGGGUGAAAGCCCAGGGCUCAACCCUGGAAUUGCCUUCGAUACUGGAGAUCUUGAGACCGGAAGAGGUAAGUGGAACUGCGAGUGUAGAGGUGAAAUUCGUAGAUAUUCGCAAGAACACCAGUGGCGAAGGCGGCUCACUGGCCCGGUACUGACGCUGAGACGCGAAAGCGUGGGGAGCGAACAGG
rnacentral:rRNA from 1 species